rnacentral:rRNA from 1 species
UACGUAGGGUGCAAGCGUUGUCCGGAAUUACUGGGCGUAAAGAGCUCGUAGGUGGUUUGUCGCGUUGUUCGUGAAAAACUCACAGCUCAACUGUGGGCGUGCGGGCGAUACGGGCAGACUGGAGUACUGCAGGGGAGACUGGAAUUCCUGGUGUAGCGGUGGAAUGCGCAGAUAUCAGGAGGAACACCGGUGGCGAAGGCGGGUCUCUGGGCAGUAACUGACGCUGAGGAGCGAAAGCGUGGGGAGCGAACAGG